AUACUGCAAGGAGGGCAGCGUCACCGGCCCGCCGGGGCCUUCCGGGUUGUCCCCACCCCCCCCGCCCCACAACCCACGGAUCAGGGCACAGCCGGCUGCUCUUCACACGCAACUCAACGUCACAACAGCUCAGGGAGCAUCAGGGAACUGGUGUUAAGGUCCAGGCCGGGCAGGGGUUGCUGUGAGGGACUCACUGUCACAGGGCGUCUCCUACCUCAGGUAGGUCAGCGACUUGAGCGACGCCAGCGGGUCCAGGUCGCCCUGUGGAGGGAGAGCAGACACCCCCUGAGCCGCUGCGCACGGUGACGCCUCGGAGGAGGACCAUCCUGCCCGUCCUUCCCGCUCCGGCGCCCGAUGCGCUUCCAGGGAACAAGCUGAUGAAGGCACUGGAGCUUCUGCACCCUCCCCUCUCGGCCAUGACAGCGUCUCCGCCCACAGCGCCGAUGGCUUUAACCAGCGCAUUAGACCCACAGCGAGCUGGCGUGUGCUCCCGUCUCCUGGGACCCGGCCCCCCACCCCCGGGGGCUCACCAGCUCCACGAGGCUGUUGUUGGUGAGGACGAGCUCCGUGAGGCAGGGCAGGGCCUGGUCCAGCGCCUCGCCGAUGCGGCUGCAACAAAGCAGACGCCCCGAGUCAGAUGGCGGGGAAGCCGCAGACCCUGUGACCACGACCUGCUGGGAGGAGCUCAGACUCCCCGUGGCAGGAACCUGGGAGGCUGUUCUCCCCGACACCCGCGACAGAGGCACAAACACAAAACCUUGUUGAGGCCCCAGGACCAGAGAGAGCGGCAGGGUGUUGGGACCCACGCUUCCCGGAGGCUGUUGGGGGCUCUUCCUGCUCCCACGCUGUGUGAGGACACGAAGAAAAGGAGAAACCCCAGCCUGGCCCGUGUGGCUCAGUGGUUGAGCAUUGAUCUAUGAACCAGGAGGUCAUGGUCAGGCACACGCCCUGGCUGUAGGGUCCAUCCCCAGUGCAGGGCGAGCAGGAGGCAUCCGAUUAGUGAUUCUCUCUCAUCAAUGAUGCUUCUACCUCUCUCCCCUUCUCUCUGAAAUCAAUAUAAAUCUAUUUUUUGGGGUCAGAGUCUGUGUGCUGCAGAAGUUUAGUACUUAGGUUGUGUGCGCCGUGAGAUGAGAUGAAAAAGGUUGAAAACCACUGGGCGAGCCCAAUGCCAAGCUAAGCUCUCACCUGCACGAGAAAAGCUUCCUCAUUUCUCAUCUU